rnacentral:rRNA from 1 species
CGAGCGGCAGCACAGAGAACCUUGCUCCUUGGGUGGCGAGUGGCAGACGGGAGUGGAAUACGUCUGAAUCUACUUUUUCGUGGGGGAUAACGUAGGGAAACUUACCCUAAUACCGCAAACGACCUACAGGUGAAAGCAGGGGACCUUCGGGCCUUGCCCGAUUGAAUGAGCCGAUGUCGGAUUAUCUAGUUGGCGGGGUAAAGGCCCACCAGCGCGACAAUCCGUAGCUGGUCUGAGAAGAUGAUCAGCCACUCUGGAACUGAGACACUGUCCAGACUCCUACAGGACGCCGCAAUGGGGAAUAUUGGACUAUGGGCGCAAGCCUGAUCCACCCAUACCGCGUGGGUGAAGAAGGCCUUCGGGUUGUAAAGCCCUUUUGUUGGGAAAGAAAUCCAGCUCGCUAAUACCCGGUUGGGAUGACGGUACCCAAAGAAUAAGCACCGGCUAACUUCGUGCCAUCCGCCGCGGUAAUACGAGGGGUGCAAGCGUUACUCGCAAUUACUGGGCGUAAAGCGUGCGUAGGUGGUCCUUGUAGGUCUGUUGUGAAAGACCGUGGGCUCCACCUGCGCAACUGCAGUGGAUACUGUGGCAACUAGAGUGUCGUUAAGAUGGUAACGAGAAAUACCUGGAAGUACCAUGUUGAAAUGCGUAAAUAUCAAGAAGGAAC